ACUCUCCUGCAGACUCUCCUGUGACGUGGCCCAUCAGGCCAUCGGAUGAAAAGCCCAGAGGCCGAGUUUGUGUAUGCAGUGGCGAAGGGCGCCGUUUCCGCCAGCGCGAUGAGGAUGAGCUCUGUUUCCAUUUGAAAGUGGGUCAGAGACGCAUGGUCAUCAGGCGGUACCUCUGCUCCAACCUGCUGCAAUCACUGGGUCUUGGGCGAAGAGGGAGUGGUUAUGGGUGACGCUUUGGG